rnacentral:rRNA from 1 species
AUGAGUCAUGUACUGACCAUGAGAGUCCAUGCAGAAGAGCUUCUUCAUCUUGCGCUUGAGCUUCUUUGCCCAAGAGGGCUCUGCUCCAGAAGGCUCAUAGUCCUCAUCGUCAUCACCGGCCUCAGCCCCGCCCUCGGUCUCCAUGUCAGCAGCAGUAGAUGGACCCCCGGAUUUAGGAGCUGGGGUGCCCCAAUUGUCCUUCUUCCUCAGACGCUUGAUCUCAUGAGAAACCAAUUCCCCAGUUUCCAGCAUAACCUUGGGAUAGACACGUGCCCAGGCCUUCUCAAUGAGCAGCAUGAUGAACAGACCAUAGAUCGGGAACUUGCGCUCAGAAACGACAGAAAGAAGUUCAGACCACAUAACACGAGAAAUGUCCAGGGACUCAUCAGUGUUUGCUUCCUUCUCAUGCUGGCAGAAGAGAACCAUGUCCACGAGAUAGGAGUGGACCAUUGUAGGGGAACGCAGCAGAAAACAAAAAUUUCCUGA